ensembl:lncRNA
GUUGUCAGGUUGUCAUCGUUCUUCGCCCUGAGCGCUCGGUGGUGAAACGCCGUGUCAGUCUCUGCUCUCGAGUCCCAAAUCAGACCAGAUCAGAAUCUUCUGAAUAAACACUUUUAGAAACAUUUGUAGUGUUCAGGGAUCCAGCUUCUUGUGUUACAAAAACAUUCUUCCUGAACUGAAAACCUUUUUUUUUUUUAAGAAUUUACUUAGAUUUUUUGGUUCCCUCUUGAAAUCCAUCUUCACAUCAGUCCGCCCCACAGUCAGCUGACGCGCUUUCCAUUGGCCAGAUGAGGAAUCUCCCCCCCUCUCUCCCUCAUCAUUCCAUCCAUCCCCGUGAUCAUCACCUGAUGCCGAUGACGUGGCGGCGCUCCGGACGCACGGCCGGUUGGGACCGGCGUCUGCGUGGGCUCCACGCUGCGGGAGUGAGGCCGAGGAGAAAGGAGGCGGCCCGGGGGCAGACUCUGUGUCAGCUGAUAGUGCAGAGGGUGGGCAGGGCCGCGGGGAGGGUGGCGCGCCUGGGCGCGAAAAAAGGCUCGCCAAGACCCACACUCUUUUGGCAUUUUGGCAAGGCCAAGCGGCAAAAUGAAAUGAUCCAAUUUAAGCUGGUUUAGGAGUGCCGGAGAAUAUUCAAAUAUUUAUUUUUGCAGGGCAUUCGGGGAGGCUGCGCUUGCUCCGCAGAUCAGCAAAGUUUAGGGUUUUUUUUCUUUCCCCGCGUGCAGCUACGGCGGCGCCAUCUUGACGGGUAGCCUGUUGGCCCCCAGUGGUGGAAAAAAUGGAUCCCGCCGCUCCGCUGCCUCCUCUGCCCGCCUUCUUCUUCCCUCCUUUAUAAUCAGGCUUUAUGCGGCAUCUUCUGGCUCCUUAUUUCACCCCGGUGUUCAUCUCGAUCCUCAAGUUAAAAAUCAAAUUGAAAUCCAAAGUAGACUCAUUUAUACGAGCAUUAAAAAAAAAUGUCUUCUUGAUUUGGUUUUUAUAGGCGCAGAGUCCUUUUUGUGAUUCAUCAACGACUGCCAUGAUAAUAAAGUCUUUGCUAAGCUGCAUCCCGUAAAUAAGAAAAAAUAACGUCCGGCGCCCGUCUAAAUUUUCUCUCUUAGACUGACAUUGACGGCAGGAUCUUUUCAAAUGAUUGCUUUUUAAUGCCAUUAUUGUUAUUGUGGUUAUUAUUGCUGCUAAUGAGGGAAACACAGCCCUGCUUUUCCUCAGCACGAAUUUCACCAUGGAAAUAAAUGAGUAAAAAAGCCUUGAUCGAAUUACACUAAAAGCAAUCUCAAAUAAAUGGGCCUUGAUUCUGCCUCCGUGAGACGAUGGUUGCUGCGGUGUAAUUUCAUUGCGCGGGGGAACGAGAGCAGCCGGGCCGAAGACACAGACAGACGCCCGACGCAGAGGCUUCACAACCGUCCUGGAAACCAUAACAAGUUUGUCAGACCCAGCAGUGACGCCAACGCAAUGAGAUCAUUGUUUGUAAAGAAUUGAAGCCGUUCAUUAGGUUUUGUUGGAGUGAAAAUGUUUAUCUCCUUCACAACAGCCACGUUUUUGAAUUUCACCGAAAAUUUGCCAAUAGAUGUUGACUUUACCUACAUUUACUUGAAUGAAACAACUUUCACAUCAUCACUUUAAGGAGUUGAACACUUUUAGAAAAAGUUCCACAAAAUAAUAUAAUAUACACGCAAAUAUCCGAUGUAUUUUUUGAUCAACUGCCAAUGCAAGCACAAAUACGUGUGAGCUCUUGCAGUGUGUAUACACACACACACACACACACACACACGUGUGCAAACAUGCAUGCAUGCACAAGCACAUCACCCCCCCCUCCCCUUCUUCACAGAUAUUCAGUCAAAAGCUAAUCAGCCGACCAGCAGUUACAGCAGGAAAGUCACAUCCACUCGGAAGCGAACGUCGAGGCGAUUAAUUGAAACUAUGUGGUGGAAACCGAAACAGACAGAGGUCACCGUGCCGCCUUAAAAAUAGUAGCACGCCACUCAGACGCUCGCAACGAGAGGAGACGCACGCGUUCUCUGCUUUAGAGGCCGUUCGGCACGUAGGAAAUCAACCCGUUUGCUCCACGCUGACUUCUCCACCCCGGAGCGAGCAUCAAUCUCCUCAUUAAUCGACCACAGUUCAGUAACACAAACAGGGAAAUGAAUAUUAACACCGGUGUUAGCACGUCGUAUUUAGCCGAGCGUUUUUAGUUCGACAACAUAAAAGUUAAGAGCGUAAUUUCAGUUGAACACACGUUGCUCUUUGGUUGCUAGGUUACUAUCGCCGCGCAGCUCCUCCAGUGACGCCUACCAUCUCCGUCCUGAAGCGUCUUUCAUUUAGCAUGUUUUUGUUGUUCAAGAAGAAAUGAUUCUGGGUUAUGAUCUUAAUCAGCAGAUGGAUGUCUUUAGUGCAACAGCCGUUGGCCCCGACGUGCUAACGGUACUUGAUGACGCUAACGUUUUAGAAACAUCCCUCGAACACAAUGUUUUACAAUUAUUCCCUCCAAAUAAGUAGACUUAAAAAAGGAUAUGAGGAAAAUCUGACUCUAUUCCAUGAGUCUUUGGUGUUGUCGGAGAUGCUCGGCCAGCUAGUCUGCAAUGGGGGAGCGAGACUUUACAAAGGUUCAUUCGUCAAAAGAAUCCCACCAUAAAGUGUGUUUAGGCUAAUUCGGAUUUGGACGGAAAGUUUCCUUUUCUUAAAACGUAGCAACAUUACAAUAACAAGUCCAGUCGGUUAGAUACUUAAGUGGACAUGAGAUGUUUGUAUGGAGGAGUUUAAAACAAGAACGUAUCGUUUCCUCUUCCAGUGGCCAAUAAAACUUCAACGAUUAAAAAAGCAUCAACCCUGAAUUGGUGAGCAUCUAUGCGUUGCCAACAUUUACCCAUUGACAGUUUCAUGAUGCUUCACAAGAGGCAACCAAACGUUCCGCUUUUCAUUUAUCCAUGUUAGCUUCAUGGAGAAGGCCUCACAGAUUUACUUCUGUCAGGAAUCCACACUGGCAGAGUUCUCGUUUCCACAGUGAGCCGUCGUACCGGCUAAAAAAAUAAGAUGCCCGAUUCCGAGAAAAACGUUCCCGAACAUUUGGGGUCCACGAGCGAGCAGCGGUGGCGCUCGGUUGAUAACACUUAUUGCCCGAGGGCGAAGCCAUGAAUGGAACAUCUGAUUUCUCUUUCAGACGGUCUUUUCUAAACACCCAGCGAUAAAAAAAAAUUAAAAAAAAACACAUCUCCAUUAAUGGUGCUCUUAGCAUCCAUUUGCUACCUGCAAAUGAGACACACUGAGACACCUGCGUGCGCCGGUGAAACGAGAGGCCUCGGCGCCCUCCUCCCAUUUGCACCGGCAAAGAUAACAGCAAGUAGUGAGUCGUCUGCGAAUAGGGGAGGUGAGAGCGUUAACGAUGAGGGAUGAUGUCGAUUUAUCAUGAUAUUACAGCUCUGACGGGGAAACACACCUGUACUUUUUGAUGUAAUUUAUUGACUGGUUUGUGGGUGCUGAGCGAGAGAGGGAAAAAAUUAGUGCGGCUUUAAUUACUGCUGCUGCUGGUUAAAAUAUUAAUGGGGCACAGAGUGUUGCAUGCUCAUUUCUGUUGAUUUUUAAUUAGCAGUAAUUCAUUUCGCACAAAGCAUGUUGAUGCCUGUGCCGCAGACAUUAGCGAAGAAGCUGAAUAAAGAUGUUUUUCAGGGGGUAGAGAAGGAAAACGUGCAUGCUGAGCGUCGCCGGGCACACAUCUCAGACGCUCUCCAGGCCGGAGAAGAGGCGAGGACGGGCGUCUGUGAGAGGGGGGGGGGGGGAACCCUCCCAUCAGGUCUGACAAAUCCAAAUCAGCAUCUUCAACAGCCGCUUUGGGGAAGAGGGCGAGCGAGAGGAGGGGAAAGAAAUGGAUAUAAGCAGAGUGUCUCAGAGCGGCGCCUCCGUCUUUAUCGGCGCUCGAUCAUUAGACGGCUUAAUACGUGUCGUCGUCAGAUGCUGAACAAAAUCAAAUUAAGUCACGAUGACCUCAGAGGCCGCAUUCCCCUGCUUUUCUACAACCAAUCUCGUCCAAGAUUGGAUGCAUUCUCUGCGCAGGUUUUUCUUUUUUUCUUUCUUUUUUUUUGUCUUUUAAAUGAAGCAAUUUGCUUUUAAGUGACAGAUGCGCGCAGGCCUAUUAGUACACCGGCGAUUAGGAAUCCUCCAAAUACCAGAAGAGAAGGAAAAAAAACAAACAAAACAGAUAUAUAUAUUUUUUUUAGACGUCGAUUUUGAGGAUGACGCACGCGACCGGAGCUCAACCCUUCACCCCGUGACCCCUUUUCCGAUGAAGAACUCUCCUUCAUCUCCCCCCUCCCACCCCACCCCCCUUCCACCCUCCCCUCCCCUCCCUGUGGGUGUGCGUGCCACGCCAGAGUCCGGGCUGGCAUCUGGGAGGCUGUGAUUGAGAAGUGUAAAUAAAUAAUAAUCCCUGGAAAGGAGACCGGCACAUCAGCAUCUGUCGACUCCCCAGCUAAUAGUUUUUAUUGUGGCGCCAUCAAUUUAGCACUCUUUGUUUGCUCGAUUCCCCCUCCCUGCGUCGGAGCAGAUAGCUCCCAGUUUUUUAAUUGAACUGAACAGAUUUUUGUUUAAGGAUCUCUUGAUAUCUUUUUUUUUUUUUUUUUAAAUGUAAAAUCCAAGGCAAUAUACUGUUGAUGAUUUGUAGCCGGGCGGCUCUUGUUAACGGGCGAGCGUGAUGAACAGGCCGCACGCGUCUGCUCACUCGUACCACUUUAUCGUAGUGGGCCACGCGUUUGGGGGUCAAGGUGUUUAUUUUUGCUGAAUGCCAAAGUGCAGUGUGUCAAAAACCAUCGGGGGGGGGAGGGGGGUCCCCGCACUCCUGCGACGGCGUCCACCGAGAGGAACUCCGCGUCGCUUUCCACCUCGUUAAACCUCCGCUGGAGAUGAUUGCCGCCGAAACCGGGGAACGUUGGCUUGAUUGUCCCACCAUUCCAGAUGACGGAGACACACUCCGCCAACAGCGAGAAUCACUGAAAGGCGGCGGCCGCCUCUUUCAGGGUGUGCUGGUUUUUUUUUUUAAAAGGCAGGAAUAUGCUGGUGUUUUGUGGACAUGGGAAGCGGGCUGAUGGGUGCAUAAAUAAGGCAUGUUGGAACAUCUGGUCUUUGUUGUGCGUUCAGCUUUUUAAUGUCUUCAAAGAGCAACUCUGACGCUUCGCUGACUACCUCUCCUUGCUCCUGCUUCAUUUUAGCGUGGAAUAAUAAACCAUCUUUGGGGAAUUUAGUCCCUCAGCCUCUCUCUUCAUUUGGAUAUGGCAUUGCAACCCCCCCCCCCUCCUCCCUCUUCCAC